CCUGCGUUUUGUUCGUAACAUUUGUAGCGUGCCUGUGUGUGUUUGGCCUGGAGCUGUCCUGCCUGGCAGUUAGUGAUGGUAGCUAAUGUGGCGGUCCAUCAGUGUACUAAUACAUUGUCUGGACUGUUUUGGCAAAGACAUCUGGUCUGCCUCUGGGCAUGUACUCAAGGGCAGCUGGCACAGAGUCAUCUCUGUGGUGUUUGGCAGAUGUGGAGGGAGAGACUUGAGCUGCUUGCGAGCAGCUGUUCGCAUAGUGCUUGAAUAGUUUUAGAGGAGAGGUCUGUUGAAUCUUGAAAGCUUGCAGAUGUGGACUGUUUCUUUUUUUGCCAGCCUUAGAUAAACCUUAGGAGGAACUGGUCCAAGGAAAGAGCGCCUUCUGGAACUGUCAAGCUCUUGUUCGGCAGCUCGGUGACUGGCUUGGCCUAGUUUUGAGGUGCCGAGGCAAGUUGUCUGCUGUUCUGAAGUGAUAAAAAUAAAAAUGGGGUCCUUUGUGUUGUUGAGGGAUGGGUGCUAAUGCUGGCAGCUGAAUGGUUAUCUUCUGACUGUGUUUUCAUUUGUUAAAGCUGAAAUGCAGUGUACAGCCUGGGACGUCGCACCCAGAGCUGCCUCUGGCUAGAGGUCUUGUAGCUGGCUUAAGAGGGCAGAUGGAAGCAUCUGCCUCAGGGGCAGGUGAGCGGGCAGAGGUGUCUCACACAGGCUCAGAUGAGUAAACUGCACUCUGAAGAGCUGUGUGCCAUGGCAGGCUCUCCACAGAAGUGGCUGAGGAUUUGAGAUGAGGCCAGAGAGCGACAAGGAGUGGCACGUGCAGUGAUGGUUUCCAAGCACUGCGCUUGCUUUCUCUUCUGUUUAUCAGGUGCUACAGGCAAGCUAUGAAAAAGAAGCCUAAAAAGAGGGACAUGUUGUACGCAGUGCAGAAAAGAAAAAUUCACAAGAUACAAGGCCAGUGAAGUUCAGUCACCUUCUUUGUGCACGCACCUUUUCUUACAAUGGGAGGGACUCCUUCACCGAACUUCAGCCACUCCCCAGCUGUCCUUCACAAGCCUCCUCAAGGCCUUUCUUUGCUGCACUGCCUACAAAUCACCGUCACCCGGUAGUCUUGAAGCUGGAGGCCAUCUGUGACCAUGGUGACUGCUGAUUUAUGGAAGCACACCCAUCUUUGUUAUUCACACCACCUUCUUGUACACAUUUUCCCCUUAGUCACCGUAUUUCUUUCUUGUCUUGGGAACAUGGAGUGCAAAGAGUCUGGGGUGGGAACUGCCUAAAGUAAUGAAUAAGAGGUGCAAAAUAGAUCAAGUAGAGCAUUGUGAAAAAUAUAUUGAGAAAUAAUAAUAUGUUUGGAGUGCAUAUUUGUCAAAACAAGAUUGUAUCAAAUAUAAUUACAGAGGAAGACAUAUCUACCGAGGUAUGUAGGCCAGAAUCACUGAUCAAGCCAAAGACUGGAAGGACCGUGGUGACAUAACACUCACUAUCAUUAAAUCUAGACAAGCCUCCGUCUAAUUUAGUGUAGCCUUGAAGCCGUUCUGAAUUUUCUUGUCUUUCAUAGCUCUCAGGGUGCAGUUGUGUCCCAGGGCUCACCAGAGCUUUGACACUUUUGGGACAUGCAUAAGCCCCCAGCGCAGGUGGCUGAGAAGAGGACACAGUGUGUCAGAGAUUCUUCUGGUAGAUUUGUCCUGUGUCUCCUCUGUCCUGGAGAAUUCUCAAGGGACAAGUUAGAAGAGCUUUAUGGCUGCCAUGCCUCUCUGGAAAGAGGCCAAACAUUUACCUUUUUAUAGAACUAUAUUAAGGCAAUCUAGGAAUGUAUGUAAGUGGGAAGCACUUGAAUCUAUGUAAAGAAAACUUGUUAUAUUCAUCAGAAGAUAAAUAAUAUGGGAGAGCCUGUAUCUAGCAGGUAUAAAAUCAACUCAUGGUAGUUAAACAUUUCAGAGAAACAUGCUAUAUUCAAUAACAAGGGCCCAAUCCUGCCACUGCUGAAGCAAUAGUAGAUGGACAUAGUCAGGACAGAAUUCCUGAGCUGCUAGCUGAGGAUUAUUUAUUUUUCAUAGCCUUGUAUGACAUGUAAUCUCUUCAUUGCCGUUGUCCUGCCUUCUACAUUUUUAUAUGCCAUAGCAUCAGUCUGAGAUGAUUUUGGUGGAAGAUGGUUUAUAUAUGCACAGAUCCAUGGUGCAGAAUCAGCUUAGCCUUUUUGAUUUAUUUCUCAAAGCUCUCCUGCAUGGUUUCUGUCUUGAUUUUCUUGUCAACAUGAUUUAGUGCAAGUCUCUGGGGAUGCCUGGUGCAUUAUGUGAAACUGGUGUUAUUGUUGUCCUAGCAGACUCAAGCAAAGGACUGCUUUUUGUGGAACUGUUUCAUGUUACAUAUUCUAAUAAUGUCAAACUUCUGAAGGAAAUUCUCCUGGAACAAACUCAAGCUGCCUUUGCAAAG